rnacentral:rRNA from 1 species
UACAGAGGGUGCGAGCGUUGUCCGGAAUCACUGGGCGUAAAGAGCUCGUAGGCGGUCUGUCGCGUCUGCUGUGAAAACUCGGGGCUUAACCCCGGGCCUGCAGUGGGUACGGGCAGACUAGAGUGCGGUAGGGGAGACUGGAAUUCCUGGUGUAGCGGUGAAAUGCGCAGAUAUCAGGAGGAACACCGGUGGCGAAGGCGGGUCUCUGGGCCGUAACUGACGCUGAGGAGCGAAAGCAUGGGGAGCGAACAGG